AGAGUUUGAUCCUGGCUCAGAAUGAACGUUGGCGGCGUGGUUUAGGCAUGCAAGUCGUACGGGCCUGACCUUCGGGUCGGGCCAGUGGCGCAAGGGUGAGUAAGGCGACGGCAACCAACCCCAUGGUCGGGUAUAGCCGCGGGAAACUGCGGGUAAUCCCCAGCGAUGUACCAGGCCGGCAUCGGCCUGGUACCAAAGCUCCGGCGCCGUGGGACGGGCCGUUGUGGUAUUAGGUAGUUGGCGGGGUAACGGCCCACCAAGCCUCUGAUGCCUACCGGGCGUGCGAGCGUGGCCUGGCACACUGGGACUGAGACACUGCCCAGACUCCUACGGGAGGCUGCAGUCGAGAAUCUUCGGCAAUGGGCGCAAGCCUGACCGAGCGACGCCGCGUGGAGGACGAAGGCCUUCGGGUUGUAAACUCCUGUCGAGGGGGAGGAAGUCCCGAGUCAAGUCGGGAUUGACCGAUCCCUGGAGGAAGCACGGGCUAAGUUCGUGCCAGCAGCCGCGGUAAGACGAACCGUGCGAACGUUAUUCGGAAUCACUGGGCUUAAAGGGCGCGUAGACGGAUGACCACGUCGAUGGCUGAAAGCCCCCGGCUCAACCGGGGAACGGGCCGCGAAACGGGUCGUCUCGAGUGGAGGAGAGGGAUCUGGAACGUCCGGUGGAGCGGUGAAAUGCGUUGAGAUCGGACGGAACGCCGACGGCGAAAGCAGGGUCCUGGAC
rnacentral:rRNA from 1 species